GCUAAAUUAAACCAAUUAACAUGUUAUAUCACACAUAUUCAUCACUGACCUUUUUGCAAGGCUGAUUUUCAGUUUCUGCUUUGUUCUUUCUGUGGCAGAGAAAGCUUGCAACUAUCACCCAGGUGGCAGAAACUCACAAGUAUAAUGAAACCGGGGAUUCCCAGAUACAAAAACAAGAAACUUCAAAAACAAUUCUUACCAAAAGAAACAUGGUCAAGGCUACUUUCCGUAGAUGCCUCGGGGACCAAGAGAAAAUCAAGAGGGGCAUGAAAUAUGGGGUUUGUUCCAGUAAAUAUGUGCGACUGGUGAACCUGAUGGACCCUUGGAGUCUAGACUGAGGGAAGAACAGCUUCCAGGCAACUAUCACAUUUUAGUGUUACAAGGAAACUGGAGAGAAAUCCAACCCAAUUCAAACUGAAACAUGGAGAUAAGAACAAUUCUGUAAUUAUGAAGUCGUGGCAUUUAGCACUUUCAUUGAUCUUCGUGCCAACCAAUGUUUUUAAACAUUCAGCAACUACAUCUCGUGAUUCUUAGACAUCACUCAAUAUAAUUGUGAUUAAGCUGUGGUUAAAGACUAAACCUUACUGUAACCCAGGAAGAGAGGAUGAGGUACUAUAAUAACAAGUAAUGGUCCAUUUCUUCAGUUGGUAAUGUCUUGAAUCUGCAGUUAAUGUGAUAGUUGGCUAUUUUUUCUCAUCUGUAUGUGCUAGCUUUCCUAAUGGUACAGGCAUAUAAUUUAAAAGCCUUGUAGAGACACUAAACUGUAUUUUCUCUGACUUGCAAAUAUCUCUCAGUUUAAUUCUAGUAUCUGCAAUGUAGUUGAGAUGCAAAAUUUUUAGAUAUUAAUAUUAAAGAUUUAGUUAUGCUUAAAUGUAACAAGGAAAUUGACUUAAAAUUAUUUUCCUUAGAUAAAUAAUUUUACUUGAAAUGGCCAAUAAUUUAGUCUGUUGUUUUUAGUCUUUAAAAGCUGCUGAAAUUAAAAAUGGAAAUGGAACACUCGGUACCACUUAACAUUUAAAAAUAAUACGAAGUGUAUGAUGGGCUUACUUUUUCAAAAAUAAUAAAAAAUUGCUCAUAUUUUCUCCUUUUGAAUAAACUAAUGUUGAAAUGCAUUGGAAGGUCAGAAUUUGCAAUAGCAAGAUCUCAGGAAUAAAACUCCUUUGAUGAGCAUGAAGCAGACACAAAAGCAAGGCUGCCAUCAGCAAUAGGUUAGAUAGGAAAAUCCAAGAAACAAUGUAACUUUUGAAAGAAACCAAAUCAACUGUCUUGUAGAAUAUUUUAUUUUGAUUUAUAAGUAAUUAUGAACUUUUAAGAUAGUUCAGUUGGAUAUAAUGAUAACUAUCAAAUUGGUGGUUAAGAUUUGUUUCUUUAUUUAGAGAAUAAUAUUUACUGUUUAUCAUUAAUUUAGAAGUCUAUUUUCUUUGAUUUCUUAUUAAAUGUCUUAUUUUGUGAGGGUUUUGUGCUUAGGAAAAUGUGCACUUAGAAUGAUCACCUAAUUUUAUUCAUUUCAUUUAUUGGUUUAAAUAACUUUAUGUCAACUACUUUGUCAGCUUCAAGUGAUUUUUACCUAGUACUCUGAAUUAGUGCACAAGCAUAUCCUAUUUUCUCAUUUCCAUUCCUGGCAUUUUGUUUUACUACAUUGACUGUGACAGAGCAAAAGACACUUUUAUAUACUAAUUUCCUCUAAUAUCUACAGAUUUAAUAGUCACAGGUAUAUAGUUGCAUAUAGUUAAGUCUUUGCCUAGAUCUUUUGUUA
ensembl:lincRNA